CUUCCUUUUCCAAGGUGACAGUGGAGUUUACUGGUGUGAGUCCAGAGAGGGAUCAGCCAGCAGCAGCAUCCAGCUCACUGUCACUGGUGGAUCAGUGAUCCUGCAG